AACGAACGCUGGCGGCGUGCCUAACACAUGCAAGUCGUGCGAGAAAGUUCCUUCGGGAGCGAGUAAAGCGGCGCACGGGUGAGUAACACGUAGGUAACCUGCCCCCCAGUCUGGAACAACUAGAGGAAACUCUAGCUAAUGCCGGAUGAGACCACGAUCCCUUCGGGGGUUGCGGCCAAAGAUGGCCUCUACUUGUAAGCUAUCGCUGAGGGAUGGGCCUGCGGGCCAUUAGCUUUGUUGGUGAGGUAACGGCUCACCAAGGCUGUGAUGGCUAGCUGGUCUGAGAGGAUGACCAGCCACACUGGGACUGAGACACGGCCCAGACUCCUACGGGAGGCAGCAGUGGGGACUAUUGCGCAAUGGGCGAAAGCCUGACGCAGCGACGCCGCGUGGGUGAUGAAGGCC
rnacentral:rRNA from 1 species